CACCAAUGGGGACCCGCCUCCCCCAUCCCCAAUCGGAUUCGAAGGAUUCGAGAAACGCCUCCAGAUCACUUUUUCAGAGGCACCCAUUUUCAUUGAUCCUCGGGGACUCGGCCUCCGAGCCCUGACUCGCUCCCAACUGGACUUAAUCCUUGACGCCGCUUGUUGCACUAUUGUGAACCAUUUAUCCAAUUCGGAGCUGGACUCGUACGUUCUCUCCGAGUCCAGUCUAUUCGUUUAUCCUAAUAAGAUCAUCCUCAAGACUUGUGGGACGACAAAGUUGCUUUUGUCCAUUCCACCGAUUCUUCAACUCGCUGAGUCACUCCAGCU
rnacentral:lncRNA from 1 species